rnacentral:rRNA from 1 species
CCUACGGGGGGCAGCAGUGAGGAAUAUUGGUCAAUGGGCGGAAGCCUGAACCAGCCAAGUAGCGUGCAGGAUGACGGCCCUACGGGUUGUAAACUGCUUUUAUCCGGGAAUAACGUGCCUUACGUGUAGGGCUUUGCAUGUACCGUAUGAAUAAGGACCGGCUAAUUCCGUGCCAGCAGCCGCGGUAAUACGGAAGGUCCGGGCGUUAUCCGGAUUUAUUGGGUUUAAAGGGAGCGUAGGCCGCAUGUCAAGCGUGCGGUGAAAUGUCCGGGCUCAACCCGGGCCUUGCAGCGCGAACUGGGGUGCUUGAGUGCGCGGAAAGCAGGCGGAAUGCGUCGUGUAGCGGUGAAAUGCUUAGAUAUGACGAAGAACCCCGAUUGCGAAGGCAGCUUGCUGCAGCGGAACUGACGCUGAUGCUCGAAAGCGCGGGUAUCGAACAGGAUUAGAUACCCUUGUAGUC